rnacentral:sRNA from 1 species
GCUGGGCGGGGUGGGGCAUGCCUGUAAUCCCAGUGCUCGGGAGGCUGAGGCGGGAGGUUCACGAGUUCAAAGCCAGCCUCGGCAACUCAGCAAGGCCCUAAGCAACUCAGUGAGACCCUGUCUUUA